CGCGUAGGCGGCCGAUUAAGUCGGGGGUGAAAGCCUGUGGCUCAACCACAGAAUUGCCUUCGAUACUGGUUGGCUUGAGACCGGAAGAGGACAGCGGAACUGCGAGUGUAGAGGUGAAACUCGUAGAUAUUCGCAAGAACACCAGUGGCGAAGGCGGCUGUCUGGUCCGGUUCUGACGCUGAGGCGCGAAAGCGUGGGGAGCAAACA
rnacentral:rRNA from 1 species